rnacentral:rRNA from 1 species
AGAGUUUGAUCAUGGCUCAGAUUGAACGCUGGCGGCAUGCUUUACACAUGCAAGUCGAACGGUAACGCGGGGGCAACCCUGGCGACGAGUGGCGAACGGGUGAGUAAUACAUCGGAACGUGCCCAAUCGUGGGGGAUAACGCAGCGAAAGCUGUGCUAAUACCGCAUACGAUCUACGGAUGAAAGCAGGGGACCGCAAGGCCUUGCGCGAAUGGAGCGGCCGAUGGCAGAUUAGGUAGUUGGUGGGGUAAAGGCUCACCAAGCCAACGAUCUGUAGCUGGUCUGAGAGGACGACCAGCCACACUGGGACUGAGACACGGCCCAGACUCCUACGGGAGGCAGCAGUGGGGAAUUUUGGACAAUGGGCGCAAGCCUGAUCCAGCCAUGCCGCGUGCAGGAUGAAGGCCUUCGGGUUGUAAACUGCUUUUGUACGGAACGAAAAGGCUCUUUUUAAUAAAGAGGGCUCAUGACGGUACCGUAAGAAUAAGCACCGGCUAACUACGUGCCAGCAGCCGCGGUAAUACGUAGGGUGCAAGCGUUAAUCGGAAUUACUGGGCGUAAAGCGUGCGCAGGCGGUUAUGUAAGACAGUUGUGAAAUCCCCGGGCUCAACCUGGGAACUGCAUCUGUGACUGCAUAGCUAGAGUACGGUAGAGGGGGAUGGAAUUCCGCGUAGCAGUGAAAUGCGUAGAUAUGCGGAGGAACACCGAUGGCGAAGGCAAUCCCCUGGACCUGUACUGACGCUCAUGCACGAAAGCGUGGGGAGCAAACAGGAUUAGAUACCCUAGUAGUCC